CCUGGUUGAUUCUGCCAGUAGUCAUAUGCUUGUCUCAAAGAUUAAGCCAUGCAUGUCUAAGUAUAAGCAAUUAUACAGCGAAACUGCGAACGGCUCAUUAUAUAAGUUAUCGUUUAUUUGAUAGUACCCUACUACUUGGAUAACCGUGGUAAUUCUAGAGCUAAUACAUGCUAAAAAUCCCAACUUCGGAAGGGAUGUAUUUAUUAGAUUAAAAACCAAUGCCCUCCGGGGCUUACUGGUGAUUCAUGAUAACUCCUCGAAUCGCAUGGCCUUGCGCCGGCGAUGGUUCAUUCAAAUUUCUUCCCUAUCAACUUUCGAUGUUUGGGUAUUGGCCAAACAUGGUUGCAACGGGUAACGGAGGGUUAGGGCUCGACCCCGGAGAAGGAGCCUGAGAAACGGCUACUACAUCCAAGGAAGGCAGCAGGCGCGCAAAUUACCCAAUCCCGACACGGGGAGGUAGUGACAAUAAAUACUGAUACAGGGCUCUUUGGGUCUUGUAAUUGGAAUGAGUACAAUUUAAAUCCCUUAACGAGGAACAAUUGGAGGGCAAGUCUGGUGCCAGCAGCCGCGGUAAUUCCAGCUCCAAUAGCGUAUAUUAAAGUUGUUGUGGUUAAAAAGCUCGUAGUUGAACCUUGGGCCUGGCUGGCCGGUCCGCCUCACCGCGUGCACUGGUCCGGCCGGGCCUUUCCCUCUGUGGAACCCCAUGCCCUUCACUGGGUGUGGCGGGGGAAACAGGACUUUUACUGUGAAAAAAUUAGAGUGCUCCAGGCAGGCCUAUGCUCGAAUACAUUAGCAUGGAAUAAUAGAAUAGGACGUGUGGUUCUAUUUUGUUGGUUUCUAGGACCGCCGUAAUGAUUAAUAGGGACAGUCGGGGGCAUCAGUAUUCAAUUGUCAGAGGUGAAAUUCUUGGAUUUAUUGAAGACUAACUACUGCGAAAGCAUUUGCCAAGGAUGUUUUCAUUAAUCAGGAACGAAAGUUAGGGGAUCGAAGACGAUCAGAUACCGUCGUAGUCUUAACCAUAAACUAUGCCGACUAGGGAUCGGACGGUGUUAUAUUUUGACCCGUUCGGCACCUUACGAGAAAUCAAAGUGCUUGGGCUCCAGGGGGAGUAUGGCCGCAAGGCUGAAACUUAAAGAAAUUGACGGAA
rnacentral:rRNA from 1 species